rnacentral:rRNA from 1 species
GGGUGGAAACAUACUAGCGUAUAUUAAAGUUUUUGCAGUUAAAAAGCUCGUAGUUGGAUUUCUGGUAGCGAGCGACCGUGCCGAACUUGAUUGUUCGUGUAUUGUGUUGUCUUCAGCCAUCCUCGUGGAGAACUUUUCUAACAUUAACUUGUUGGGAUUGGGACCCGCGUCGUUUACUGUGAAAAAAUUAGAGUGUUUAAAGCAGGCAUUAGCUUGAAUACAUUAGCAUGGAAUAAUAAGAUAGGACUUUGGUACUAUUUUGUUGGUUUGCAUACCAAAUUAAUGAUCAACAGGAACAGUUUGAGGAUAUUCGUAUGAACAUGUCAGAGGUGAAAUUCUUGGAUUUUGAUCAGACGAACUACUGCGAAAGCAUUUAUCAAGGAUGUUUUCAUUAAUCAAGAACGAAAGUUAGGGGAUCGAAGAUGAUUAGAUACCAUCGUAGUCUUAACCAUAAACUAUGCCGACUAGGGAUUGGCGGACGUUGUCUAUAUGACUUCACCAGCACCUCAUGAGAAAUCAAAGUCUUUGGGUUCCGGGGGGAGUAUGGUCGCAAGGCUGAAACUUAAAGGAAUUGACGGAAGGGCACCACCACGAGUGGAGCCUGCGGCUUAAUUUAACUCAACACCGGGA